GAUGAACGCUGGCGGCGUGCCUAAUACAUGCAAGUCGAGCGAACAGACGCGGAGCUUGCUCCUCUGACGUUAGCGGCGGACGGGUGAGUAACACGUGGAUAACCUACCUAUAAGACUGGGAUAACUUCGGGACACCGGAGCUAAUACCGGAUAAUCUAUUGAACCGCAUGGUUCAAUAGUGAAAGACGGUUUUGCUGUCACUUAUAGAUGGAUCCGCGCCGCAUUAGCUAGUUGGUAAGGUAACGGCUUCCAAGGCAACGAUGCGUAGCCGAACUGAGAGGGUGAUAGGCCACACGGGAACUGGGACAGGGACCAGACUACUACGGGAGGCAGCAGUAGGGAAUCUUCCGCAAUGGGCGAAAGCCUGACGGAGCAACGCCGCGUGAGUUAUGAAGGUCUUCGGAUCGUAAAACUCUGUUAUUAGUGAAGAACAAAUGUGUAAGUAACUAUGCACGUCGUGACGGUACCUAAUCAGAAAGCCACGGCUAACUACGUG
rnacentral:rRNA from 1 species